ensembl:lncRNA
GAAGGGUGCUAACUAGUGACAGGGAAGGGUACUAACUAGUGACAGGGAAGGGUACUAAUUAGUGUCAAGGAAGAGUACUAACUAGUGACAGGGAAGGGUACUGACUAGUGACAGGGAAGGGUACUGACUAGUGACAGGGAAGGGUACUAACUAGUGACAGGGAAGGGUACUGACUAGUGACAGGGAAGGGUGCUAACUAGUGACAGGGAAGGGUACUAACUAGUGGCAGGGAAGAGUACUAACUAGUGACAGGGAAGGGUACUGACUAGUGACAGGGAAGGGUACUAACUAGUGACAGGGAAGGGUACUAACUAGUGACAGGGAAGGGUACUGACUAGUGACAGGGAAGGGUGCUAACUAGUGACAGGGAAGGGUACUAACUAGUGGCAGGGAAGAGUACUAACUAGUGACAGGGAAGGGUACUAACUAGUGAGAGGGAAGGGUACUAACUAGUGACAGAGAAGGGUACUAACUAGUGUCAGGGAAGGGUACUAACUAGUGACAGGGAAGGGUACUAACUAGUGGCAGGGAAGGGUACUAACUAGUGAGAGGGAAGGGUGCUAACUAGUGACAGGGCAGAGUACUAACUAGUGACAGGGAAGAGUACUAACUAGUGAGAGGGAAGGGUACUAACUAGUGGCAGGGAAGGGUACCAAACC